rnacentral:rRNA from 1 species
GGUGAGUGAGGCAAUGACUAGAGUGGCGAACUGGUGAGUAACACGUAAGAAACCUGCCCUUUAGUGGGGGAUAACAUUUGGAAACAGAUGCUAAUACCGCGUAACAACAAAUCACACAUGUGAUCUGUUUGAAAGGUCCUUUUGGAUCGCUAGAGGAUGGUCUUGCGGCGUAUUAGCUUGUUGGUAGGGUAGAAGCCUACCAAGGCAAUGAUGCGUAGCCGAGUUGAGAGACUGGCCGGCCACAUUGGGACUGAGACACUGCCCAAACUCCUACGGGAGGCUGCAGUAGGGAAUUUUCCGCAAUGCACGAAAGUGUGACGGAGCGACGCCGCGUGUGUGAUGAAGGCUUUCGGGUCGUAAAGCACUGUUGUAAGGGAAGAAUAACUGAAUUCAGAGAAAGUUUUCAGCUUGACGGUACCUUACCAGAAAGGGAUGGCUAAAUACGUGCCAGCAGCCGCGGUAAUACGUAUGUCCCGAGCGUUAUCCGGAUUUAUUGGGCGUAAAGCGAGCGCAGACGGUUUAUUAAGUCUGAUGUGAAAUCCCGAGGCCCAACCUCGGAACUGCAUUGGAAACUGAUUUACUUGAGUGCGAUAGAGGCAAGUGGAACUCCAUGUGUAGCGGUGA